rnacentral:rRNA from 1 species
CCUACGGGCGGCAGCAGUGGGGAAUAUUGCACAAUGGGGGAAACCCUGAUGCAGCGACGCCGCGUGAGUGAAGAAGUCAUUCGUUAUGUAAAGCUCUAUCAGCAGGGAAGAAAAUGACGGUACCUGAGUACUAAGCCCCGGCUAACUACGUCCCAGCAGCCGCGGUCAGACGGAGGGGGCAAGCGUUAGCCGGAUUUACUGGGUGUAAGGGGAGCGUAGACGGCAGUGCAAGUCUGGAGUGAAAGGCGGGGGCUCAACCCCCGGACUGCUCUGGAAACUGUACGGCUGGAGUGCAGGAGAGGGAAGUGGAAUUCCUAGUGUAGCGGUGAAAUGCGUAGAGAUUAGGAGGAACACCAGUGGCGAAGGCGGCUUACUGGACUGUAACUGACGUUGAGGCUCGAAAGCGUGGGGAGCAAACAGGAUUAGAUACCCUAGUAGUC